UACGGAGGGUGCAAGCGUUGUCCGGAAUCACUGGGCGUAAAGGGCGCGUAGGCGGCUCAUGAAGGCUGUGGUGAAAGUCCGGGGCUCAACCUCGGAUCGGCCGUGGCGACUCGUGGGCUGGAGCACUGUAGAGGCGGGUGGAAUUCCGGGUGUAGCGGUGAAAUGCGCAGAUAUCAGGAAGAACACCCGUGGCUAAGGCGGCUCUCUAGUACGGUACUGACGCUGAGACGCGAAAGCGUGGGGAGCGAACAGG
rnacentral:rRNA from 1 species